ACCAGCUUCCACCAGAAAAGCCAGACCCGCUUCAGAUGGAGUCACUCUCUUUAGUUAUUCUCUUUAGAAAGAGGAACGAAACUGUUUCCUUUUAAAGCUUCAGAAAGCAAACUGCCUAUAUGGCCUGAAGAGGAAAAGAAAUGAUGGGAUGUUAAAAGUCACAGCUGGCAAGAGGAUUCAUUUAGGACCAAGGCAGCCUGCACAGGCGGUGGCUGUCGCUUUAUGUCCCUCCUGACUCCAGGUUGUGAGCUCGGUUGGCCUCGCUCCCCUGGUGGCCCCAAGCUUAGAGAUAGUAGGAGGAGCUUCAUAAAUAAUGGCUGGUGUGAACCAGUGAACAGAUCACAAGUCCGCCAGGAAGGGCCAGCUCGAGAGGAGCAUGAGAUUGGUUUCCAAAUAUUGGUCAAGAGCUCUAAGUUAGGAUGUGCCAAGGAUAGACUUAAUUUAAUGUGUUCAUAUGCCUGGGUGGCUUUUCUGCUUCUAGAAGCCUGAGGGGAAGACAAGCCAGCAGAUAUAGGGAACAUGGACCCAACCAUCCUGCUGGCCAGAGGAGCGCCCUUGGGCUUGAGAAGACCAGUACAAAAUGAGGUAAGUGCCUCUCUCCAGGGGCCCAGCAGAAUGAGAGUGAAUUGCUAACUCAGGUGUUUAAAGACCCACACAUCACCUGAGCAUCCCCAAGUGUCGAACACACUAUGUUUGAAUUUUCUGCAUGACUCUUCUUCACUUUCUUCAGAAAACCUGGGGGAAACUGAAGACUUUAUGGAAGAUUCUUCUCAGUUCUGUGGAGAAGAAGGGUGAGGCUAGGGAUAAGUGGAGGGCCAGAGGCAAUGUGAACUUCCAUUUCUGCCCUGGAGUGACAGCACUAAGGUACUUCCCAUAUUACAAGAAUCUGAUUUAUUGAUAACACCAAGGGCUUCAAUCAGAAUUCCACCUGUGUGAGUGACUUAGGUUUAUUUGACCAGGAAUCCUUUCCUUUCCUGUGCUUUAGGGCAAGCACACAGGCAAAAUCCACUGUGCAUUGUUCUUGUACAUCUAAAGUACGGGUAUUGGAGCUGCUUCUUUUGUGUCUGUCUAACUUGUAUUGUUUCCUCAAUGGCUCUAGAAAUAGCUGACCACCUGUACAGAAAUAAUACUGGUCUCCAAGCCUCAGCCAUUGUUUUUAAAAGAGUCCACAACUUGGUGGAGAAUUUACCUAGAGAUUUGCUCUCCAGCCUUGGUUGGUGGUAAACACAAAUAAUAGAUGCAUGAAGAAGGAACUUUCCAGAUUUUCCUGGGUUUUUUUCCUUCUACCUGGGUUUCUAAGAGAAGAUGCUGCUUUGCCCUCUGUUGUCAAGAACCUUCUAUUUUAAAAGUUCCACGUGCUUUUAAAAUGACAUGACUCAGAAAUAUGAUACUGACUUCCUUUGUCUUCACCUAGACUAUAACAGCCUAAAAAAAAAUCAAAUCAAUGCAUUUAACACAUCUAUUUCAUAUGACAGUAAAUGUGGGUUUGGAAUAAAAGUGCAUCUUAUGUUUUUUUUUAAAGAAAUCUUUUUUGGGGGGGCGGGGGUUACUAAUAGGUUUUGCAGGAAGGAGGCAAUUCACAGUCCCUAAAGCACUCUCUCUCUUCUUGGCCCUGUGGGGUUGGCCUUUGAAUAGUCUUAGCUCCCAGGAAUAAAAUACUGAAGCAUAGAUAAGCGGAAAUCUGACCUGAGAAAGAAUAGCAGCUCUGCAGCAUUCCUGGCACUUGUGAGUCUAAUGUGUCUUGCUGGGAGGUUUAGUGUGCACAGAUACUUACAGGUGACAAUUUUGCUGAAACCAAGCCCUGCUUGUUUCUCAUACUCACAGUUCAAAGAGAAAACUGCGUUGAGAAUUGACCACAGCAGCUAGAAAUGCCCACAGAUUCAGUCUCACUUAGUUUCCUAGACAGCCAUUAGGAACAGCUUUAGUUUCAAUAGCCAUUGAGGAAUGCCUCACACUCAACCCCCCUGAAGGAGAUCUCAGGAAGUAAGGCACUCAGAGAGACAGUGGGCGAUUCGUAGGAUGAGAUCAGAGGCCUUGAGACGCUGAGAUCCUGCAGGACCUUAGCUAAGCUGUGGACAACUCUGUUGGCAUUUGAAUAAGUCACCCUGGUUGAUAUCCAACAUCUUUUCCUUAAGCAUUAUUUUCCCCCACAGGAAAAAACAGGUGUUAUUAUUUCCCAACCAUCUUAUGAACUCUGUGUGUGUGUGUGUGUGUGUGUGUCUGUUGGGACUUGAACCCAAGGCUUUGUGCAAUGCUAGGCAAGCAUUUCACCACUGAGCUAUUUCCCAGCCCCUCUAUUGGAUAUUACCCAGUAUACUUUAAUUUCAAUUGUUAAAUUUGAAAUAUAACUAUUAAAUAUAACUAUUUAAUCUUCAGAAUAAGAGACUGUGUGAAUAUAUAUAUGUAUAUAUGUGCAUAUAUAUGCAUAUACAUAUAUAUGAACAAGAGUAGCCCCUGGCAUUAAUCUGAGGACCCUCUCUCAGCAGCACCAACAUUUCAUGUUUGUGGCAGACUAGUAGGGUAUUUAAGUAAGGUGGAUCACAGCUUCUAAAUACCAGAAAAGAAUUUGGCAAGAAGAAAUUUUUAUUAGAGAAUCCAGAAGGGAAAAAAAAAGACUUAACAUUUUAAAAAAUCUAAGCAGGUACCGUGGAACACAUCUAUAAUCCCAGGUACUUGGGAGGCUGAGGCAGGAGGAUAGAAAGUGCUAGGCCAGCCUAGGCACCAUAGCAAGACUCUGAUUCAAAAUGAAAAAUAAAAGGGGCUGGGGAUGUAACCAGUGGUAGAGUACCCCUGGGUUCAAUUCUUCUCCCAGAACAAAUUUAAAAUUAUAAUUAUUUUUCUCAUUACAAAAGUAUUACAUAAAUUGCAAAAAUUAAUAAAUGCAGAGACGUGUAACCAUAAUUCUUCUACCCGAAGGUAGCUGCGAUUAACAUUUGAUGUUUUUGCUUCAGGGUAUAUACACUUUUCACAGCAAGGGGCUCAUGCCGUGUAUGUUGCUUUGUAAAUUACUUCUUUAUUCGAUAACAAAUCUUGAAUUUCUUUCCAAGUCAAAACCAUUUUUCUACAACAACAAUUAAAUAACCAUGAUGUAUUAGAAAUACAUAGCCCUUCUCCUAUAGUUAGACAUUUAGGUUGUUUCCAAUUUUUACUGCUAUAAACAAAAUCACUAUGGACAACUUUGGGGGUAAAUUUUUCUACAAAUUUUUUACUUUUUCCUUGACAUGGAUUUAUGGACCCUAGAAACAGAGUGGAGGAAUUUGGCUGAGACUUUAACUGUAAUACAUUAACUUCCUCCUCUCUUUUCUUCCUCCCUUGUUUAUUUUUCCUUCCUUUUCCAUUUGCAGAUUAUCCAAAGCCCAGAGCAAACAGAGCUCUCAUGGAGCAGUGAGCUCAGGCAAUGCACCAAGGCCCUGAGGAGUGGGCCAAGCCCUGACCCAGUGUGGCCUUCUCUGGGAAUAUCCUGGCAGGACCCUUUCCACUAAUGAACACUUGGCUUCUCCUCGCCUCUUCCCAAUCGAGCUGAGAUUCCUAGAGCCGCAUUGUGAUGGCAGCAACAUCCCUGGUGUGACCUGGAGGUGGAGAUCUCUGUUCUAAAUUCCUCCAGCUGACAAAGUAGAAUGAGCCGGUGGACUUGUUAGGAAGAGUAGCAAGGAAAGGGAAGGACACACAGUCCAUCACAUGAAGUGCUAAGGUCUGUGGUAGGGACUGGGGCCAGUUAGAACUCCAGGGUUUGCAUCCAUUGUCUGAGUCAAGUGGAGCCCACUGCAUGGGGAGUGCCACCUGAAAGACAGGUGGGUCAGCUGGCACUUUCCUGCCGCCUCACAAGUGACAGCGUCCUGGGAAGUCAAGCUGGGGCCACAGACCGGAACUGAAGGAAGUCAGUCAUGUAGUGGAACAUAAGUAAAUCUACAAAAAGGAAAGAGGAAAGGGGAAAAAAUAGGUGGGGUUCAGCACUCCAACCCCAUGGAAGCUGGGUUGCCUGGGGAUCAGGGGCAUUUUACCAAAAAAUACAGAAAAGUUCAUUCCCAGUUGCUCAGUCCAGGCCAGUUUCAUGGUUAAAGCAAGGCUCUGGUCAAAUGUUAACCACUCAGUUAUCCUGGGGGAGGGGGGAAAUAGCCCACCCCCUCAGCUGUCCCUUUUCCCAGCAUUUGGGGAAAAUGAAAGAGUAGGUAAAAUGUGCUUAUUUCCUUUCAUUCUCUAGUGUGGGCAGGGGUUCACAUAAUAGUUGGAAACCAUUUUUAACAGGAAAUCUGAGUGAAUCCAGAAGGGAUUUAUUCACAGAGCUCCCUUGCUACAAAAUGAGUAUUAUUAACCAAAACUUGACUCGUUCCCUCUUCUUUUCUCCUUGUUUAGCUGCCCCCAGCUGCCACCCACCACCGUAGUGGAAAACGAUGGUGGUGAAUAAGAUUUAAAGUUUGAGCCCAGCAGGCUGCCUCCCUAGCCAACAGAAGCCACUGAGAGGAGCUCACGGCGAAAUGCUAUAUCGCCAUCCAAAAAAAGUCAUUCUAAUUUUCUUAGACUGCAGCUUUGAUCCCAUUUACUGAUGAUGGACUGGGAGAUAUGGUCAGAUGAGUUUGGGGGAGGAUCCAUUAAUCCAGUGUUAUUCCCAUUUAUAAUGUGGUCUUCUGCUAAGUAUUUGUGUUCUAAAAUCUGUUCCCUCUGGGGAUUCUUUCUCUCAGUCCUCUUAGAAAACUGAUGAAAAUAGAUUUGCCAUCCAUUUCCAAAGGGGGUCUUUGCUCCUGUCUGUGGGAGGCCUUUUCUGGGUGGUAGGAACGCACACCUGGCAGAGGAACCCUUUAUUACCUCUCCUCUCACAGAACACAACCCUUCCCUCCGCGAGUCCUUCUCUCUCCCUGUCGCUGAACUUGCUGGACACCCACGAUGCCUCUUUCCUCUGCUCAGGUCACCUAUAUGGAGCUGGCGAGGAUUCCUGAUGGCCGGCAGUGACAGUGGUGGAAUGUGGGGACGAAGAUGACUUCUUCCCAGCGACAGAUUUUCCUUAGCAGAGCUGUGGAGUGUGACAAUGGUGUUUGUGUCCAAACUAUCAAACGCCAUUAUCACACUAAAUAGCUACUGUUAGGCAAUCCUUCCGCUCAAUAAGUAUCUUGGCAUCUGUUCGGUCUGGGAAAGAAGGUUUGUCGUAUACCAGUGCUCUCAAUUUCUGAAUAAAAGUCUGGUGCUCUUGUGCUUAUGUGUCUGUCUGAACGCUGCCUCUCCCCUGCCAUUGUUAAAUAGAUGGUGAUUCUGAUGAUGGAGGAAGAAAAACCAGCUCAAACUUGGUUUCUCCUCUGUCUUCUCACAAUACAGAUGGCUUCUGGCACCAGAUGUGUGGGGAUUUCUUCCCACUAGCAAGUAAGCAAUUAAUUCUGCAGGUGACACCAACUGGGUGUCCUCUAAUCCACUGCAGUUCUGACACUGACUACCUGGAGACGGCACCAGAUUCCACAGAGUGGGGGGCUCAGUCCCCAAGACAGCCCCUUCCCUCCACUUCAGAUGCCAAUCGCAAGCCCCGGGUCAUUUUCCCUCGUGCUUCUGAGCUGCCGGCCUAAAUUAGAGGUCCCAACAACAGUCUCCUUGGGUUCAACUAAUUUGCUUGAGUGGCUCCCAGACUCAGGGAAAUGCUCACUUACAUCUGUUAAGUUGUUGUAAAGGGGACUAAAAAGGACAUAGAGGGAAAGACGCACAGCGCAAGGUAUGAGUGACUGAGCCUCCGUGCCCUCUCCAAGAGUGUCAUCCUCCAGGAACCUCCUCGUGCUCAGCCACCUGGAAACUCUCCAAACGCUAUUUCUUAUUUGUUCGUUUUGGUACCAAGGAUUGAAUCCAGGGGCACUUAAACACCAAGCUCCAUCCCCUGACCCCCCCUUUUUUUUUCAGAGACAGGGUCUCAGUAAGUGGCUUAGGGCCUCACUAAGUUGCUGAGGCUGGGUUUGAACUCCCAAUCCUCCUGCCUCAGCUUCUCAAGCCGCUGGGAAUACAGGUGUGCACCACUGGCCUGGCCUUUUGGAGUUUAUAAAAACUCUAUUGCGUAGGUAUGAGUGAAGCAUAGGCAAACGUGUCAAAAUGUGAUUGGAUAAAAAGGGGAUGCUCUUUUGCUAAGACUGGGUGGGAAACCCAGCAAGGUUGUCUGUUCCAAUUCUUCUUGGCCUCUGUGUGCAGAACUCCUCCUGCGGGCAUGGAGUAGGACGCCCUGGAAUGAAGAGGUUUUAAUGACCUGCCAUGAGACAAGGUAGGUCAGAAUUAUGAGCCAGGAACUGAGGGCAAAACCCCCAAAAUAUCAUAAUAUCACCAUAGUGAUGAAUUUUCUUAUUUUCCUGGGUUAAUGAAAAGAUUAGAGUCCCCCAGUGUACCCAGCACCAAGUUAGGUAUCUGGUAAUCAUUCAACCCAUGCUUGUUGAGUUGAGUGAAUAGUUUUGGAAGUAUGAGAUGCACAAAACUGAAACUGUGUUAAAUCUGGUUAUGCAAACCACAGGCACAGGGGUGUUAAAGUAAAUAACUCCUUUUCAUCAUAAAAAAAACCCUUAUAAUAAAUUUGUAUGUGGCUUAAAUAACCUUCCAGAAAUUCUAGAAUAUAUUUGAUUUCUACUGAUUUUAACCAAUUACCAGGCUGAUUGCGAAUUUGUAUGCAAGGUCCUUCUUUAAGUUUUGAUGAAUUACCAUCAGAAAAUUACAUAUAAACAGUAAUGUUAGUGGCCACGGAAAACCUGAACAUGUUAAAGCCCUGCAGCUUCUGAAAGAGUUGGCCCAACUGGGUGGUCUGGUUGGGAACACAUUCUCUUUCUGAGAGGCAUCCAGAGUAAGGAGCAGUUUCUCUAUGUGGCUAAGGCCUCCCUCUUGUGACUUGGCUACAUGAACUAAUCUGUUUAAUCAAAUUUGCAGGGUUGGAUCAACCAUCAGAAACAAAUUCAUUCUCUCAAUCAACCAUUUAUUUAUCAAAUAAAUAUGUAUAGAGUGACUCCCA